AACGCGAAGAACCUUACCUGGGUUUGACAUCCCGCGAACCUCUAUGAAAGUAGGGGGUGCCCUUCGGGGAGCGCGGAGACAGGUGCUGCAUGGCUGUCGUCAGCUCGUGCCGUGAGGUGUUGGGUUAAGUCCCGCAACGAGCGCAACCCUUGUUGCCAGUUGCCAGCAGGUAAAGCUGGGCACUCUGGCGAGACUGCCCGGGUCAACCGGGAGGAAGGUGGGGACGACGUCAAGUCAUCAUGGCCCUUACAUCCAGGGCUACACACGUACUACAAUGGCGGAUACAAAGGGCAGCCAAGCCGCGAGGCCGAGCCAAUCCCAAAAAGUCCGUCUCAGUCCGGAUUGCAGUCUGCAACUCGACUGCAUGAAGCUGGAAUCGCUAGUAAUCCCGGAUCAGCAUGCCGGGGUGAAUACGUUCCCGGGUCUUGUACACACCG
rnacentral:rRNA from 1 species